AGGGUUUGAUCCUGGCUCAGGAUGAACGCUGGCGGUGUGGAUAAGGCAUGCAAGUCGAGCGGGUUUAGACCCGCGGCAAACGGGCUAGUAACACGUGGGAACCUACCCUGAAGUCGUGAAUACGCUGGAGAAAUCCAGUACAAUACACGAUGUGCUCUACGGAGUAAAGUUUUAACGCUUCAGGAGGAGCCCGCGUCCUAUCAGCUUGUUGGUGAGGUAAAAGCUCACCAAGGCAAUGACGGGUAGGGGGUGUGAGAGCAUGGCCCCCAGCAUUGGAACUGAGACACUGUCCAAACUCCUACGGGAGGCUGCAGUCGAGAAUAUUCCACAAUGGACGAAAGUCUGAUGGAGCGACACCGCGUGCAUGAUGAAGGCCUUAGGGUCGUAAAGUGCUUUUAACUGGGAUCAAUGUACUGAGCGUACCAGUUGAAUAAGAGGCUACUAACUCUGUGCCAGCAGUAGCGGUAAUACAGAGGCCUCAAGCGUUAUCCGGAUUUAUUGGGCGUAAAGCGUAUGUAGGCGGGUAUAUUAGUCGUGGGUCAAAUCUCCAAGCUUAACUUGGAAACUGCUCACGAAACGGUAUAUCUAGAGGAUGUGAGA
rnacentral:rRNA from 1 species